CUCUGAGUGGUCGGGGACACUUCGAUUUUAUCAGAUGAGAUAGCUGAUGUGAUGGCCUGGAUCCACGUGUUCAUCUCCUCCUUCAAGAAGCCCGAAAGAUCGCUACGAGGCUUUUCUGUGAGAACUGCCUGCGCGUGAACCUGCAUAACAGAGGCCUCAGCCUUUGCAGAAUCCUCCCAGAUGCUCUUCUCAGCCUGGAGAUGGAGCUUUGCCACAAUGAGCAGGUGAACUCUGAGGAAAUAUGCCACAUGAUACUGAAGCAGUUCUGAUACAGGUGUCAGUGAAAGAAGGGCAAUUGAUUUUUCUGCUUAGGUUUGUAUCUGGAACACCUUAUUCUUACAUUAUCAAUUCAGAGAUGUUUUAAUAGUGUGCAGGAUGAAUCACAGAGCUGCAGGUCUGUCUUCAAAAAGGUUAGCAGCAAAUUUCCUUAAAUAAGAAUUGUAUUCAGAGGAUUCUUGCAUCAGUGUAGACUUGGAAAAAAACCUAUCUUAGAUUACACAAUCCAGUCAGUUCAUAAAGUGAGUCUCCUUUGAAAGAGUCCUCUAGCAGCUGUGUAAUAGUACAAUAUUUUUUAACUGUUGGCACUGAAGUAUUACUCAGUAAAACACAGUUUUGGAACUGAAAGCCGUGUUUUUAUAUCCUUUGAACAACAAAUACUUCAUAUACUUCAAAAGUGACUGUCUGCAACACGUUCAAAACCUGAAAAUGUGAUCGAUGGAUGUCUUCAACAGUCUCCUAAAUCCAUACUAAAAAAAUUAAACAAAAGAUUUUUAUGAAGAGCAGAACCAUGAACACUCAGCUCUUUUCAUUCAGUUCCAGAGGCAGCAGUUGGAAAGCUCAGGGAUUUUAAGUGCAGACUCUUAGCUUUAUGUAUCUAGUCUUAUCUCAUAAAUAAGUACCAUUAC